rnacentral:rRNA from 1 species
CAAGUCUUGACAUCCCUCUGACCGUUCCUUAACCGGAACUUUCCUUCGGGACAGGGGAGACAGGUGGUGCAUGGUUGUCGUCAGCUCGUGUCGUGAGAUGUUGGGUUAAGUCCCGCAACGAGCGCAACCCCUAUCCCCAGUAGCCAGCAGUCCGGCUGGGCACUCUGAGGAGACUGCCAGGGAUAACCUGGAGGAAGGCGGGGAUGACGUCAAAUCAUCAUGCCCCUUAUGAUUUGGGCUACACACGUGCUACAAUGGCGUAAACAAAGGGAAGCAAGCCUGCGAAGGUAAGCAAAUCCCAAAAAUAACGUCCCAGUUCGGACUGCAGUCUGCAACUCGACUGCACGAAGCUGGAAUCGCUAGUAAUCGCGGA